GACGAACGCUGGCGGCGUGCUUAACACAUGCAAGUCGAACGGAAAGGCCCUGCUUUUGUGGGGUGCUCGAGUGGCGAACGGGUGAGUAACACGUGAGUAACCUGCCCUUGACUUUGGGAUAACUUCAGGAAACUGGGGCUAAUACCGGAUAGGAGCUCCUGCUGCAUGGUGGGGGUUGGAAAGUUUCGGCGGUUGGGGAUGGACUCGCGGCUUAUCAGCUUGUUGGUGGGGUAGUGGCUUACCAAGGCUUUGACGGGUAGCCGGCCUGAGAGGGUGACCGGCCACAUUGGGACAGAGAUACGGCCCAGACUCCUACGGGAGGCAGCAGUGGGGAAUAUUGCACAAUGGGCGGAAGCCUGAUGCAGCAACGCCGCGUGCGGGAUGACGGCCUUCGGGUUGUAAACCGCUUUCGCCUGUGACGAAGCGUGAGUGACGGUAAUGGGUAAAGAAGCACCGGCUAACUACGUG
rnacentral:rRNA from 1 species